CCAGACUCCUACGGGAGGCAGCAGUGGGGAAUAUUGGACAAUGGACCAAGAGUCUGAUCCAGCAAUUCUGUGUGCACGAUGAAGUUUUUCGGAAUGUAAAGUGCUUUCGGUUGGGAAGAAAGAAAUGACGGUACCAACAGAAGAAGUGACGGCUAAAUACGUGCCAGCAGCCGCGGUAAUACGUAUGUCACGAGUGUUAUCCGGAUUUAUUGGGCGUAAAGCGCGUCUAGGUGGUUAUAUAAGUCUGAUGUGAAAAUGCAGGGCUCAACUCUGUAUUGCGUUGGAAACUGUAUAACUAGAGUACUGGAGAGGUAAGCGGAACUACAGGUGUAGAGGUGAAAUUCGUAGAUAUUUGUAGGAAUGCCGAUGGGGAAGCCAGCUUACUGGACAGAUACUGACGCUGAAGCGCGAAAGCGUGGGUAGCAAACAGGAUUAGAUACCCUGGUAGUCCACGCCGUAAACGAUGAUUACUAGGUGUUGGGGGUCGAACCUCAGCGCCCAAGCAAACGCGAUAAGUAAUCCGCCUGGGGAGUACGUACGCAAGUAUGAAACUCAAAGGAAUUGACGGGGGCCCGCACAAG
rnacentral:rRNA from 1 species